AGAGAGGGUGAAAAUAGUCAAAAGUCAUUGUGUAAAAUUCUCAAAGACCUAGUGAACAGCAACAUCGACAGAGCAGGGCUGGUAAGAUGGUUUAAAUGGGUAAAGCAUGUGCUACAUAAGUACGAGGACCUGAGUUCAAAUCCCCAGAACCAGAUGUGGCAGCACACAUUUUUAAACGCCUUGUCUCAAACAAGGUGGACGGUGAGGUCCAAAGCCUGAGGUGGUCUUCUGCCCUCCACAUGUGCAUUGUGGCAUGUUCUGUAACAUACGUGUGCCUACUCACACAGAUGGGCACACACAUAUACACACAUACAGACACACAUAUACAAAUAUUUUUUUAAAAAAAUCACACAACAAUUUCUUGACCAAGAAAGAGGUUUCACAGGUGUCUCCUUCAUAAAUGUUUGGGGGACCGUAUACCCAGACACAGGUUUUAAGCCUGCAAUGAAAUGUAAACGCCUUCCAUGCUUCACUAAUAAAUAGCACUAAAAACUGGGAACUACACAAAAGGACACCAUUUCUGGAGCUCAACGUUGCUCCACAGUUCUUUCAGUCAUGACUGCUUGUCUGAGGGUUUGUUGUUUUUGUUUCAUUCUAUGAAUAGAGCAGCCCUAGCUCGUUUCUCUGCUGCCCGGCUGGAGACCUCUGGGCUUUCAGGUUUCAGGUUAGUUGGUUGGCUUGUUUGUCCACUGCGAGGACGGUGCUGGGCUGAGUGUCUCCCUGGACUCAUCUGUGACAUCAUGUCGAGUGCACAGUUGUAGGAGGAGUGUGGAACUGUCUGGAAGCAAGGUUUGGUUCCCUCUGUACCAAAUGUUACCAGAUCUCCCCAGACGAUGUUCAUAGAGUUUAAACACGCAACCCUUGUCUCCCUGCUUCUCCUUGUCUCCACCCCUCCUCUCUCCUCCAUCUUUCAUUUUUCUCUUUCCUGAGCUUUCUCUCCUUCCUCCCUUCCCCUUUCCACUGAAUAGGCCUGUUCUGUGGAAAGUUACUGCUGUGCACUAUGUCUUGGGGACAAGGAAAGGGAUGCUCCAGAAGGCUGACAGACCACGAUCACAAGACCAGUAGAUCACAGAGAGGCUGUCUUGCCUUCCCGUGAUUCCCUGAUGCAGAUGGCAUGGGAGGAAUGUCAACUCUGGGCGUGUCAAGUCCUUGGCAAUGGAGUACAGGAGUGUGACCCCACCAAGACUGGCAAAGGGAGGCUCAGUGUCCAGGUGCCGCUGGGUGAUGGCUUCCUUCAGCUGACCUGUCAAAGACACAGAGAAAAACCAUCAGAGAGUUCCCAACAGGCUGCAAGAAGACUUCACCUUAGGAGUACCUGCUGAACUGAGACAGAGAAGAAAAGGGCCAGAAUUGGGGAAACACUGGCAGGCACAGCUCCUACUGAGAACCCUUCUGCAUACAGCCUGUGUCAGGAAGAAGAACACAGAGGCAGGAGUUGGCACAUCAGCAUGAAUUUCACCUUGGGGUCAACCAUCUUAUGGUUUAAUCAUCUAAGCCUGUCAUUCAUAAUCUUUGCUGGGGCCCUGGUCUCUUCAAUAAUUCUAUUAUUAAUAAAGGAGGGAGGGAGGAUGUGGUCUUUUAAUAACUUAUAAGACCCUUUCUUCAAUCCAGUUUUUUUUUUAAGAGCUGUAUGAAAAAAAGCUGAUCACCAGGUAUGAAGCACACAUAAUUCUGGGUCACGUUAGUGAGGUUACAGUGUAUAGACUGAGGUCAAUGAGAGUGUCAACAGAGUUCUGUGGAACUGGGGCGGCAAUGUGCCAUUUGUUCUGGGUGCUUCCCUUACAGGAAACAUUUGCAAAACAGAAAAUGCACAGUAGAGGGGUAAGGAGGUGGCUCAGUUGAUAUGCUCCCUGAGAAGACACCAUACUCAGAACCCACCCAAGAAACCGGGCACAGUACCCAGCACCUUUCAUCCCCGCCCUGGGGAGUCAGGGAUGGCGUGUUCCUGGAGCUUGCUGGCCAGCCAGGCUAGCUCAAUCAGUGAGUUCCGGAUUCAGUGAGAUCCUGUCUCAAAAAAUACAAGGGGGAGAGUGACUGAGAAAGACACCUAACAGGAACCUCUGGCAUAGAUGGUGACCGGGAGGUGACCGGUGAGAGAUCAUGCUCUUGAGGAUUUUUGAGUUGACCUGAGAUGUUUUGACGGAGAAGAAAAGACUAGGAGGAAUGGGGAUGAAAGCUUCCUAGGAAAGUGAGCAGUGGUGUAUAGACAUUCUAUUCUGUUUAACUUGGGAGUGAGUGUGUAGGGAAGCCAAGUCAUAGAAUUGGCCAACUUGGGGGCUUGGUGUGAGGAAGGAACAGUUUACCAGGCGCACGGCCUGCAAAUGGACUGAGUGUUCUCAGGCAGCCCCAGUCUCCCAGCACAACAGCAAGGGCCUCUCAAAAGCACCAGGAAAGAGCAUUCUGUGGAUUGUUAGAGUGAAAAUUCCUAUCCUUAGAGGAUUUGGGACUCAGUGACUCUGGGUUGCCUCUGUCUCAAAAAAUCCCAAGGUUUGGGGCUUGAGACAUGGGUAGUUCUGGGGUUAGUGUGUUGCGAGACUCAACACACGUGUUAAAUUUCAGUGUAGUCUGUAUUGCUUGUCCCAAGCGGGAACUUCAUCAGGACUGUCGGGGGAGCCUGGGAGUCUCGCUGCCCCCUGCCUCUUGUAUUUCUUCCUGCACAUAAAGAACAUUCUCGAGCCCCACAGAGAAGAUGAACAGAGAAGGAGGUGUUCACAGGAGACCUGUUUGCUCAGGUGAUCCUAGGACGGAGAAGGACGGCAGAGCUCAUUCACUUCAAUUCCAACUUAAGAACCCAUCCUAAAGAACGCGUUAGAGCCCCUUUCCUAACCAGUUUCAUAGUGAAAUUGUAAAGAAUAAACUUAGGGGUCCACACCUGCUUGCCUUCCCUUUUCAGCACUCAGAUCAGCAUAAAAAAAAUGAUUAUUUCUGCUUGGCAGAGAGAAACCUUCACACCAGGAGGUGAUACCCUUUCCCCAGUCUGACUGCCCCUCCAAGUCAGGCGUCAUCAGCUCUUCAGUGAUCCCCGAGGUGGGGGGGGGGGGCACAGCUUCCAGGUAGGUGAUCACCCAGGGCUGUUGUCCCCAACCUUCCUAAUGCUGUGACUCUUUAAUGCAGUUCCUCGUGUGGUGGUGACCCCCAACCAUAAAGUUAUUUUGGUUGCUAUUUCAUAACUAAUUUUGCUACAGUUAAAUAUCAUAAUGUAAAUUGUAUCUGUAAAUAAUGACUGCAAAAUGUAAUCUGACAUGCAGGAUAGUUGAUAUGUGACCCCUUGGAAGGGUCAUGACCCACAGAUUGAGAACCGCUGACCUGGGGCUCCUGCACGGCUGCUCAUUGCUGUUCCAUGUCCUCACUGAGAACAUACAUACAGAGAGGAAGCCGAGGGCAUGUCUGAAGGAUAACUGCUCCCCAAUUCUAAGCAGGGAAAGGUGAAACAUUGGGAGCAUGUUGUGGCGGAGGAGUUGGGAGGAAACCUGGCUUGUUAUGAACUGCUGCAUUUUUUCAUGCGCAUACAGAGCUUUCUUUUCUUAAAGAAACAUAAUGGUUUAAUUCUAGAAAAUGAAGAUUUUUUAAAUUGUUUUCCUAUGCUGUUCCUCAACAUGUAAGUUUCAAAGCAGCACUUCUUUGAAUGGUAUUGUAUUAAGUCACUUGAUUUAAUUUAAAAAUUGAUCUAAUUUAAAAAAUAGGUGAUGGGGUUACUGACCUAAGUUUCAUUAAAAAAAUCAUUAAAUAUGUUUUAGCUUGGUAUUGGGACAGAACUUCCAGCAGUUUCUGGAAUGGCCCUAAACAUGCUUUUGCUCUUCUGUACUAUGCACAUAGGGGAAACCGCAUGCUCAACAGUGAUAACUAUAACACUUGAUCACUAUGGAAAAUGUUGAAGAUGCUCUCUAUCCCUCAGUGAAAAAUACCCAGGUGAGACUACUUUCCUAUGUAAAAAACAAAAAACAAAAAGCAAAACAAAACCCAAACAGUCGCAUUUUUCUCAUGAGCAUGCAAAUUUGCUGUUGACUUCAAUAAAUGGUAAAACUAUACGUAUACCAAAAUUGCUCUAAAAUACAUUUGUGUGCACGUGUAUGUCUGAGUGAGAGGGGGACACCUACACAGCUGACAAACCCUGAAUGUCUCCAACUCUCCAACAUCUUAACAGGGUAUCCACUGAACCUGCCUGACCAGUGAGCCCAGGGGUCUGCCUGUCUGUCUUUCUGUCUUUACCUUGGAGUGCUGGAACUUC